CUCAGAUGUUUCUACCUUGAAGUAGUCUUUACACCAUUCCCGUAGGUUGCUGGGUGCUUCAUUUCCCCCCAUGUGAAACUUCUUGGAAAGAAGCUGAGUUGAAUGCUCUGGAGAGAAGACUGAGCCUAGACGUUAUGAAGCCCAAUGUUUGUGAAGAACAGCAGUUGAAUGUGGUGGAACUCCCACACCUGUGUGUGCAGGUGUUCACGCACGCUGUCAGAUCUGGAGACAGGACUGUGCCAGCCUCAGAGGAUAUGUGGGUUAUGAAAGAAGGAUCCGGAACUACACUGUGUACAGAUAAGUGUACAGCACGCAGCCCAUCUACAAGUGCUGCCCCGGUCGGAGCCGGUGGGAACAUGAACCUGGCUGCCCACGCUCUGUCUCUGCAAUGGGGACAUGUUUCAAUGGAAGGAGGUGCUCAGACAGUGAGGCCCAGUGGGGCCAGUGUUCAGAGGGUUUCCAAGGCCCCUGCUGUCAAUAUGGUCCUCUUUUCCAUCUUCUUACUCCUGUGGGUCUGUCCUGUUACCUUUCCAUGUGGACCUACAGCUCAUCCAUCUUCUGAAGACUGGGAAGAGCCCUUUGGACAAGGUUUAUCUGGGCUUGGCAGAGGGCACCACUCUAUGAACUUGAACGACAUGAAUCCUCUACUACCUUCUGCCUUCUCUGUUCCUGCAACCCAGCGAGUUCAGUGCCCAAGGGAAAAAUGCAUCAUGUGGGACCACAGCCUAUUUCUGAGAGAUGAGGACUCCCCAAAUGUCGAUGAAUGUGCGGUGGUGAAUGGAGGCUGCCAGCAGUGCUGUAUUCACACUCUGGGCACCUUCCACUGUGAAUGUGAUACGGGAUACAGACUCCAUGCUGAUGAACGCACCUGCAUAAAUGUAGGUGGUACCUGCCAGUGGGAUUCUUCCUAGCACCUCAGAGCUAGUGUAGAAGAAAUUCUUCAGAGGGGAUAUGAACCACAGAGGUUUUCUAAGCAGGGAUAUCCAAGAAACUGUUCAAAUGGAGAAGAAUGUCUGAUCUUAUAUGGUUGCAAUCCAGACAACAAAUUAAGGGCCUAUGCUGUCUAUGUCAUCUACUGGAAGGACAGGAACAUGGUCUGUGAGGACAGGAACAUGGUCUGAUUCACGGUUAUUCAUCAAGAGUCUACCACCACGGACCUACUGAGUGUCAUUUGAGAGGUGGGCCCCUGAACAGGUGGGAAUGGAUGUGCCCACAUCUGUCAGACUGAGAAUGGUGUGGCCAGGUGUGUCUGUCGCCCAGGGUACCAGCUGUCUGAAGACAAAAAGGCCUGUGGAGGUAGGAGGUUGAAACUGAUGGCUUAAUUGUGUAAUUGUUUGAAAUUUUGUGGUAAUCCAGUUUUGAAUAGUCAGAACAGCUAGGAGAAGGGUGUUUUCAUUUAUGCUUUAAAAAGAACAUUUAUAUUCUCAUUUGAUCAUUCUGAAAGGUAUUUUUGUGAAACUAUAAAAACAGUGAAAUGAUUAGUUACCAAAAAAUCAUCUAGUGUGAUUUCAGAAUUAAUGCCUUUUGUUUUCUGUUUCUCGUUAUGAAGUGAAUUCCGGAAUUAAUAUUCAAAAUCUUCCAUAACUACACAGGGAGUUUUUUAUUAUAGGCUACAGAAGGUGAGGGAUAACCUUUGAAACGCAAGUAUGUGCAAAUGAGUGUUCUCAGAAAUUAGAAAUAAUUAAAACCAAAAAGAAAGAAACUAUAAAUUCAAGGUUACAUAUUUGUUUCCUAGAAAUAGCAAAAGAGACAUACUUCAAUUCAAGGAUGAAAGGGACAAAUUACUCCAUAACCAGAACUAAUAAAUGAAAUCAUUCCUGUGGGACAGUCUUUGUUUUAUUAACUUCAGAGAAAUCACAGAAUCCUUCAUUUUUUUCAUGACAUUUCAUGAAAUAAGAAAGAGUUUAUUUGGAUUAAUUAUGAAAAUACCAAAAUAUUUCCUGACUUAUGGGAUGGAUAAAC